rnacentral:rRNA from 1 species
GGUCUGUCCACCCGCCUAAAACGUGGGUGUUAGCAAGGGCCGGGCAAGACCGGUGCCAGCCGCCGCGGUAAUACCGGCGGCUCGAGUGGUGGCCGAUAUUAUUGAGUCUAAAGGGUCCGUAGCCGGCUUUGCAAGUCUCUCGGGAAAUCCAGCGGCUUAACCGUUGGGCGUCUGGGGGCUACUACAUUGCUUGGGACUGGGAGAGGCGAGAGGUACUCAGGGGGUAGGAGUGAAAUCCUGUAAUCCUUUGGGGACCACCGGUGGCGAAGGCGUCUCGCCAGAACAGGUCCGACGGUGAGGGACGAAAGCUAGGGGCACGAACCGGAUUAGAUACCCGGGUAGUCCUAGCCGUAAACGAUGCUCGCUAGGUGUCACAACAGUCGUGAACUGUUGUGGUGCCGUAGGGAAGCCGUGAAGCGAGCCACUUGGGAAGUACGACCGCAAGGUUGAAACUUAAAGGAAUUGGCGGGGGAGCACCACAACGGGUGGAGCCUGCGGUUUAAUUGGACUCAACGCCGGGAAGCUUACCGGGAUCGACAGUUGUAUGAAGGCCAGGCUGAAGACCUUGCCGGACUAUCUGAGAGGUGGUGCAUGGCC